rnacentral:ribozyme from 1 species
GCCAGGAUUGACCGGGAAACAGAAGGAAGUCUUUCCUCUGACUUACGAUUCCCAGACUGAAGGACAGUCGAUCGUAGGAAAGUGUAUUCAGGACCUUUGUCAAUUAGUUGACUCAUCAAUAUCAACAAGUUCUUUGGUUUAAAAUCCGUACUCAUAGAAUCAUUGAGAUGAUUUUUAAUCCACUC